rnacentral:rRNA from 1 species
UACGUAGGGCGCGAGCGUUGUCCGGAAUUAUUGGGCGUAAAGAGCUCGUAGGCGGCCAGUUGCGUCUGCUGUGAAAUCCCGGGGCCUUAACCCCGGGCGUGCAGUGGAUACGGGCCGGCUGGAGGCAGGCAGGGGAGAAUGGAAUUCCCGGUGUAGCGGUGAAAUGCGCAGAUAUCGGGAGGAACACCGGUGGCGAAGGCGGUUCUCUGGGCCUGUACUGACGCUGAGGAGCGAAAGCGUGGGGAGCGAACAGG